rnacentral:rRNA from 1 species
GUAGUCAUAUGCUUGUCUCAAAGAUUAAGCCAUGCAUGUCUAAGUAUAAGCAAUUAUACCGCGAAACUGCGAAUGGCUCAUUAUAUAAGUUAUCGUUUAUUUGAUAAUACUUUACUACUUGGAUAACCGUGGUAAUUCUAGAGCUAAUACAUGCUAAAAAUCCCGACUUCGGAAGGGUUGUAUUUAUUAGAUUAAAAACCAAUGCCCCUCGGGGCUCUCUGGUGAAUCAUGAUAACUAGUCGAAUCGACAGGCCUUAUGCCGGCGAUGGCUCAUUCAAAUUUCUUCCCUAUCAACUUACGAUGUUUGGGUCUUGUCCAAACAUGGUGGCAACGGGUAACGGGGAAU